UGUUUAAAUUCUAAUUUUGACAUUGUGUUUCACCCAAAAUAAUGACAUGUUGUGUUUAGGUCUUAUGCUUCUGUAUUAUACGAGUACACACUGGCAAUACAAUGAUAUUUACAUCCAGAAUAAAUCCACAAUGAAAGGUCAUAGCUAAAACUAAACAUGAAACAAAGAUACAUGCAGUAUCAGAGUUUACAUAUGAGACUUCAGUUAAGGUUUUCCCCUUUUCCUAAUUUUGCUAGCAUGUUGGUAAGUGGUUUCUAAGCAAUGAGCUGUCUGUUGCUGUCUCACUGAGAAAAAGAGCAGUAGCUUUGCUACUGCUUUGCUCGGGGAAUGUCCUCUUUGGUUUGAAGGGUUAUUGACCAGGCAGGUUCACCAUUAUGUUUGCUUUCACUUGGAUUCCUAUGAGCUACUGCUGUUCAGUUCAAUUUAAUGGCAACUGCAUAAAACUAUCAGACUGGUAAAAGCUAUCUAAUGUGUGCUAGUCAAAGUAAUACUCAGAUUUCAUAGCCGCUGAGGGGGAAAUAUCUGACUCUUUUAGCUUCCUUUUCUAAACAGUUCUCUGCAGCAAGAUCCUGAAAACAGGAUGGUGCCACCAGCUCUGCUGAGAUGAGCAUACCCUCUGUGUUGCCCUGCACUUGCUUUGCAGGGACUGUGCCUCUCUCCUUCUCUUCCAUCAUUUACAUUUGUGAGGUUCAGCUAGAGUCUGUGUCCAGUGUCAGCCACUGCACUUUGAGAAAGGCAAGGAUUGACUGAAGAAGGUUGUGGAGGCUGCAGAGAGAUAUAUCUUCUGAUGAAAGAUGGAAACUAACUGGAACUGAGUGGGACAAAUGUGAAUCCUCUCUGGGAUUUCAGCCUUAAACUUUGGACUCCAUCUCCAGAUGUGCUGUUCCAAGGCUGGUCACACUGGUGCUGAAUACAGAGUAUGUCACCCUGUGCAACUCCUGUGUCAGAGAAUCUAUGCAGGCAAUGAAAGAGGCUCCAAUCUGCAUCCGUUCCCCCACCUCGGAUCCACAUGCUCAUUGACUUUACUUGGAAGAACUGUGAGCAUAAGGACAGAGUGAAGAUUUCGUCCCUCCUCUUUAACUGUGGGCAGAGUUUCGUUCCUUGAGCUGAUGGAUGUCUUAGUGGCUCUGCAAAUCUCUGCUCAGUGGCUCAGUCUCACCAGGAGCAGAGACGCAGGCUCAUUCCUGGGUCUAGAACCGCUGGUGUUAUGCAUGAAAUUGGUCAUGUCACCUCCAGGCCUCUUGAUCCUUUCGACGCUAAACUACUGUUUUCAUUUUUUUAUAACUUCGCCUAAACAUAAUACAUUUUUUAGAAGAUAACUAUAUGAUGAAACCACAGGUCCAGAUCUAUUUUCCCCAUUUUAGGAGAACUGAACAUCAGUUGGAACAGGUAUAGAGCAGGGAUAAAAGUGGUAAUAGAUGGAAUGGACCGCCUGUCUUAUGAGAGAAGAUUGAACUUGCUUUGUUUAGUCUAGCAACAAAAAAGCUGACAAAGGCUGAAAUUGCUAUAUAUGAGUAGAUCAGAGAGGGGAAAGGAGUUAUAUUUAAGAGUUGGUUUUGCAUAAUAGCAAAUAAAUAGAUUUAAAAUAUCUAGGAGUCAGUCUGGACUGGAAAUGAGAAGCUUAUUUCUAACCAUCAGAGGAAAAAGUUUCUUAAAUAGGCUUCCAUGAGCCUUCCAUGUGAUGGAGUCAAAAUUAGCUGUAAGGUGAAGCUUGAGCAAUUGAGGAAAGGGAGCCUACAAAGCCAUUGCCUGCAACUGCAGGAUCCUGGGCUGUAUGAUCUAAGAGAUCCCAUCCAGGCCUGUAUUUCUAAGAUGGAAACCACAAUUUAAACACAGUGUGUGAAUAAUGCGCUUAUAGAUAUCUCAUCUUGGGUGCCUAAAAUCACUUAACAAUUGACAAGGAAGGUUUGCAAGGCUUUGACACCUGUACCACUGCUUUCUAGCAAUGCUGUGAAAAUAAAUGUAUCAUUGCAUUAGCUGUGCUCAGAUAUGAAGUUGAGAGUGCUUUGGAAACAUCUAGGAGGAAAUUAAAUAAUCUUCUGCUUGGUGAGAUUUUUGUCAUGU